GUUUAAUAUCGGGGGUGUCGGCGCAAAAGCCGGCUGAGAUUAAGGAUAAAUGCUCCUUUGACCCUUUAACCUGAUACGGAUAAUGCCGUCGUAGGUAGUAUAAUCUCAGCCUUAC
rnacentral:ncRNA from 2 species